rnacentral:rRNA from 1 species
AGAACGAACGCUGGCGGCAUGCCUAACACAUGCAAGUCGAACGCUUCCGGGGCUUCGGUCGCGGAGGAGUGGCGCACGGGUGAGUAGCGCGUGGGAACCUGCCCUGUUGUGGGGGAUAACCGAGGGAAACUUCGGCUAAUACCGCAUACGCCCCGGGACUUGGUCUUCGGAUUAGGUCUGGGGGGAAAGAUUGAUCGCAGCAGGAGGGGCCCGCGUCGGAUUAGCUGGUUGGUGGGGUAACGGCUCACCAAGGCGAUGAUCCGUAGCUGGUCUGAGAGGAUGAUCAGCCACACUGGGACUGAGACACGGCCCAGACUCCUACGGGAGGCAGCAGUGGGGGAAUAUUGGACAAUGGGGGCAACCCUGAUCCAGCAAUGCCGCGUGAGUGAUGAAGGCCUUAGGGUUGUAAAGCUCUUUCGCACGCGACGAUGAUGACGGUAGCGUGAGAAGAAGCCCCGGCUAACUUCGCGCCAGCAGCCGCGGU